UACAAGCAAUAGUGUCAAAGGCCGGUUU
rnacentral:piRNA from 1 species